rnacentral:rRNA from 1 species
AGACCCGAAACCCGGUGAUCUAGCCAUGGGCAGGUUGAAGGUUGGGUAACACUAACUGGAGGACCGAACCGACUAAUGUUGAAAAAUUAGCGGAUGACCUGUGGCUGGGGGUGAAAGGCCAAUCAAACCGGGAGAUAGCUGGUUCUCCCCGAAAGCUAUUUAGGUAGCGCCUCGUGAAUUCAUCUCCGGGGGUAGAGCACUGUUUCGGCUAGGGGGCCAUCCCGGCUUACCAACCCGAUGCAAACUGCGAAUACCGGAGAAUGUUAUCACGGGAGACACACGGCGGGUGCUAACGUCCGUCGUGAAGAGGGAAACAACCCAGACCGCCAGCUAAGGUCCCAAAGUCAUGGUUAAGUGGGAAACGAUGUGGGAAGGCCCAGACAGCCAGGAUGUUGGCUUAGAAGCAGCCAUCAUUUAAAGAAAGCGUAAUAGCUCACUGGUCGAGUCGGCCUGCGCGGAAGAUGUAACGGGGCUAAACCAUGCACCGAAGCUGCGGCAGCGAACGUAUCACUUAAAGCGAUUCAGCGGGUUACGAUUGACGGAGCGAAGCGACGUCAAAGCGUAUACAAAGUCGAGUCGGUUUAAGGAUACGUUCGUUGGGUAGGGGAGCGUUCUGUAAGCCUGUGAAGGUGUGUCGUGAGGCAUGCUGGAGGUAUCAGAAGUGCGAAUGCUGACAUAAGUAACGA